AUACAACUUCCUCACUCAUUCAUAUUCCUCAAAAUUAGAAGAUGGCCCAUGAACAGGAGCUGAUCCUCAAGUUUGACACUAUGGUCGGUGAGGAGCGUGAAAAAAAGGAGCCAACUAAUCUUUUUGAAGGUUGGAGUGAUGAGGAAAAGGUAAGCUAUAUGAGGCAGUUGGAAUUCAAUCUUCCACAAUACAGUGAGGCACCUAAUCUUGAAGACAAGGAAGUCCCGAUGGAGAUCUUUUGCAUUACCACAAAGGCAUCUAGUAUUUUUCCUUCGUGAAGUAUGUGCUGCUCACUUCAUCAUAGUAUGUGGAUAGUGUAAUUUUUGAUGUCACAGAUCCAGAGAAAAUUCAGAAAAAUUAUGUUGCUUCAAUUGGUCAUUAUAGAUCCUGGCAAUAUGUUGGUUCCGACCGACGUUUUGAGUUUGGUUCAAAACAACGCACGUUUGUGACCAGAUCAACGGGAACAUUUGUAUUCUAUUAUAGAUACAAACAUUUUCUUGUUGGCUUGAUCGUCGACGGAUAAUGUGGUUGGGUGGAAGGUGCCAUAACCCGUAAUGUUCGUGAUGGCCUUGAGUCCGUGUUGCAAUUUGCUAGAAAAGGAUCUGCCCCAGAUUAUAUCAGAAGUGCAAGAACAUAUACUCUUGCCUAUGAUGGGAAUUAUACAAAGGGUGAAAAUAUUUCGAAAAUCAAAAUGGGAAUAUGGCAGCUGUGUAAUGCAAUAGAGGGAAUAGGAGAUUUUAUUCCUGGAAAGAGUAAGUCUGAACCUGAUCCUAUGAUGUGGCA